AGAGUUUGAUCCUGGCUCAGAACGUACGCUGGCGGCACGCCUAACACAUGCAAGCCGAACGAAGUAGCAAUACUUAGUGGCAGACGGGUGAGUAACAUGUAGGUAUCUACCCUUUGGCCUGGAAUAACACGAGGAAACUUGUGCUAAUACUGGAUAAGUCUUUACGGAGAAAGCUUUAUGCACCAUUGGAUGAGCCUGCACUUGAUUAGUUUGUUGGUAGGGUAAUGGCCUACCAAGACUGUGAUCAAUAGCUGAUUUGAGAGGAUGAUCAGCCACAUUGGGACUGAGACACGGCCCAAACUCCUACGGGAGGCAGCAGUGGGGAAUCUUGCACAAUGGAGGAAACUCUGAUGCAGCGAUGCCGCGUGAGUGAAGAAGGCCCUUGGGUUGUAAAGCUCUUUCGUCGGGGAAGAAAAUGACUGUACCCGAAUAAGAAGGUCCGGCUAACUUCGUGCCAGCAGCCGCGGUAAUACGAAGGGACCUAGCGUAGUUCGGAAUUACUGGGCUUAAAGAGUUCGUAGGUGGUUGAAAAAGUUGGUGGUGAAAUCCCAGAGCUUAACUCUGGAACUGCCAUCAAAACUUUUCAGCUAGAGUAUGAUAGAGGAAAGCAGAAUUUCUAGUGUAGAGGUGAAAUUCGUAGAUAUUAGAAAGAAUACCAAUUGCGAAGGCAGCUUUCUGGAUCAUUACUGACACUGAGGAACGAAAGCAUGGGUAGCGAAGAGGAUUAGAUACCCUCGUAGUCCAUGCCGUAAACGAUGUGUGUUAGACGUUGGAAAUUUAUUUUCAGUGUCGCAGGGAAACCGAUAAACACACCGCCUGGGGAGUACGACCGCAAGGUUAAAACUCAAAUGAAUUGACGGGGACCCGCACAAGUAGUGGAGCAUGUGGUUUAAUUCGAAGAUACGCGCAGAACCUUACCAACACUUGACAUGUUCGUCGCGACUCUAAGAGAUUAGAGUUUUCGGUUCGGCCGGACGAAACACAGGUGCUGCAUGGCUGUCGUCAGCUCGUGUCGUGAGAUGUUGGGUUAAGUCCCGCAACGAGCGCAACCCUCACUUUUAGUUGCCAUCAUUAAGUUGGGCACUCUGAAAGAACUGCCAGUGAUAAGCUGGAGGAAGGUGGGGAUGACGUCAAGUCCUCAUGGCCCUUACGUGUUGGGCUACACACGUGCUACAAUGGUAUCUACAACAGGAAGCAAGACUGCGAAGUUAAGCAAAUCCCUAAAAGAUACCUCAGUUCGGAUUGCACUCUGCAACUCGAGUGCAUGAAGCUGGAAUUACUAGUAAUCGUGGAUCAGCGUGCCACGGUGAAUGCGUUCCCGGGUCUUGUACACACCGCCCGUCACACCAUGGGAGUUGGUUCUACCUUAAGGCAAGGUUUCAAACCCUUGACCACGGUAUAGUCAGCGACUGGGGUGAAGUCGUAACAAGGUAACC
rnacentral:rRNA from 1 species